rnacentral:lncRNA from 1 species
UCCGCUGGCUGUCCAAUCUUUUCUUCUUGCUUUGUCUCCUCUGCUGGCUGUCCAGUCUUUUCUUCAUCCUUAUUCUGAACAACUCCAGACCCCUCAGCUCCUUUGUCAUCAAUAUUCUCUUUUGAUGCUUGCAAAUCUCCAUCAGCAGUGUUGGAUUUCCCCUCAUCCGUAGUUUCUCCAGGUUGAAUGGACUCUUUAACAUCAGCAUCCUCUGCUCCCUUCUUAUCUUCAUUUUCGUUAACAACUUCCUUUUCCAGCUCUACAUCCUUGUCAUCCUUAGUUUCACCAGCUUCUUGCAUUUCCACAUCAUUUGUCUCCUCUGCUUCGUCCUCAGAAGCUGCUUUCUUUGAAGCUGAUGACUUUCUGCUACGUUUCUUAGGUGGGUCACUUUUUGGCUCUGCUGGAG